UGCUUACGUAACCCUGAGGUAAUCCUCUUU
rnacentral:piRNA from 1 species